rnacentral:rRNA from 1 species
GCCAUAAGAAUAAAUUAUGGUGUAACCUGCCCAGUGAUAAUUAAACGGCCGCGGUAUCCUGACCGUGAUAAUGUAGCAUAAUCAUUUGUUACUUAAUUAGUAAAUAGUAUGAAUGGUUGAACGAAUUUCCCAUUUUCUUUGAUUAAGGCUUAUGAAAUUAAAAUAAUAGUAAAGAUGCUAUUUUAAAUUGAAAGACGAAAAGACCCUAUAGAGCUUAACUAUAAAUUUGAUUGGUAGUUUAGUUGGGGCGACUGCCUUUUAUUAAUAACAAAGGUAAGUAUAAUAAUAAAUUCAAUUUACUGUAUAAUAAAAUAAUUUAACAGUUACAAUAGUAGACAUAAUGACCUGUUGAAAAACAAUAAAUUGAUAAAAGCUACCUUAGGGAUAACAGAAUAAUUAUUAUUAAGAGACCGUAUCAAAGUAAUAGUUUGUCACCUCUAUGUUGAAUUAAGAUAUCCUAUAAGAGCAGUCACUUUUAAGGGUAGGUCUGUUCGACCUUUAAAAUCUU